GACGAACCGUGCGAACGUUAUUCGGAAUCACUGGGCUUAAAGCGCGUGUAGGCGGAUGGGAACGUCGGUAGUUGAAAGCCCCCGGCUCAACCGGGGAAGUGGUGCCGAAACGACCCGUCUGGAGGGACGUAGGGGGGCCUGGAACUUCCGGUGGAGCGGUGAAAUGCGUUGAGAUCGGAAGGAACGCCCGUGGCGAAAGCGAGGUCCUGGACGUCUACUGACGCUGAGGUGCGAAAGCCAGGGGAGCGAACGGG
rnacentral:rRNA from 1 species